rnacentral:rRNA from 1 species
GUAGGUGGCAAGCGUUGUCCGGAAUUAUUGGGCGUAAAGCGCGCGCAGGCGGUUCUUUAAGUCUGAUGUGAAAGCCCACGGCUCAACCGUGGAGGGUCAUUGGAAACUGGAGAACUUGAGUACAGAAGAGGAAAGCGGAAUUCCACGUGUAGCGGUGAAAUGCGUAGAGAUGUGGAGGAACACCAGUGGCGAAGGCGGCUUUCUGGUCUGUAACUGACGCUGAGGCGCGAAAGCGUGGGGAGCAAACAGGAUUAGAUACCCUGGUAGUCCACGCCGUAAACGAUGAGUGCUAAGUGUUAGGGGGUUUCCGCCCCCCUUAGUGCUGCAGCUAACGCAUUAAACACUCCGCCUGGGGAUACGGCCGCAAGGCUG